rnacentral:rRNA from 1 species
AGUGAACGCUGGCGGUAGGCCUAACACAUGCAAGUCGAACGGCAGCACAGUAAGAGCUUGCUCUUACGGGUGGCGAGUGGCGGACGGGUGAGGAAUACAUCGGAAUCUACUUUUUCGUGGGGGAUAACGUAGGGAAACUUACGCUAAUACCGCAUACGACCUACGGGUGAAAGCAGGGGAUCUUCGGACCUUGCGCGAUUGAAUGAGCCGAUGUCGGAUUAGCUAGUUGGCGGGGUAAAGGCCCACCAAGGCGACGAUCCGUAGCUGGUCUGAGAGGAUGAGCGGCCGCACUGGAGCGGAGACAGGGGCGAGAGUGGUACGGGAGGCAGCAGUGGGGGGUGGUGGGCGAGGGGGGGAAGCGUGGUGCAGCCAUACCGCGUGGGUGAAGAAGGCCUUCGGGUUGUAAAGCCCUUUUGUUGGGAAAGAAAAGCAGCAGGUUAAUACCCCGCUGUUCUGACGGUACCCAAAGAAUAAGCACCGGCUAACUUCGUG